GGUAGAGGCUCACCAAGGCGACGAUGUCUAGGGGGUCUGAGAGGAUGAUCCCCCACACUGGUACUGAGACACGGACCAGACUCCUACGGGAGGCAGCAGUGAGGAAUAUUGCGCAAUGGAGGAAACUCUGACGCAGCCAUCCCGCGUGCAGGAUUGACGGCCCUAUGGGUUGUAAACUGCUUUUCUAUACCAAGAAACACCGAUACGUGUAUCGGUUUGCCGGUAGUAUAGGAAUAAGCAUCGGCUAACUCCGUGCCAGCAGCCGCGGUAAUACGGAGGAUGCAAGCGUUAUCCGGAAUCACUGGGUUUAAAGGGUGCGCAGGCGGAAUAGUAAGUCAGAGGUGAAAGCCCACAGCUCAACUGUGGAAUUGCCUUUGAUACUGUUAUUCUUGAGUGUAGUUGAAGUAGGCGGAAUAUAGCAUGUAGCGGUGAAAUGCAUAGAUAUGCUAUAGAACACCAAUUGCGAAGGCAGCUUGCUAAACUAUAACUGACGCUGAGGCACGAAAGCGUGGGGAGCGAACAGGAUUAGAUACCCUGGUAGUCCACGCCGUAAACUAUGAACACUCGCUGUUGGCAAUACACAGUCAGCGGCUGAGCGAAAGCGUUAAGUGUUCCACCUGGGAAGUACGAUCGCAAGGUUGAAACUCAAAGGAAUUGACGGGGGCCCGCACAAGCGGAGGAGCAUGUGGUUUAAUUCGAUGAUACGCGAGGAACCUUACCUGGGCUUAAAUGUAUAUUGACGUACUGAGAAAUCAGUAUUUCUUCGGACAAUUUACAAGGUGCUGCAUGGUUGUCGUCAGCUCGUGCCGUGAGGUGUCGGGUUAAGUCCCAUAACGAGCGCAACCCCUACUUCUAGUUACCAGCAUUUCGGAUGGGGACUCUAGAGGAACUGCCUACGCAAGUAGAGAGGAAGGUGGGGAUGACGUCAAAUCAGCACGGCCCUUAUGUCCAGGGCUACACACGUGCUACAAUGGCCGGUACAGAGGGCAGCUACAUAGCAAUAUGAUGCUAAUCUCAAAAGCCGGUCUCAGUCCGGAUUGGAGUCUGCAACUCGACUCCAUGAAGCUGGAUUCGCUAGUAAUCGCACAUCAGCAAUGGUGCGGUGAUACGUUCCCGGGCCUGUACACACCGCCCGUCAAGCCAUGAAGUUGGGGUACCUGA
rnacentral:rRNA from 1 species